rnacentral:rRNA from 1 species
AGAGUUUGAUCAUGGCUCAGAGCGAACGUUAGCGGCAGGCCUAACACAUGCAAGUCGCGCGAGAAAGCGGGGUUCGCCCCGCCUGUAAAGCGGCGCACGGGUGAGUAACGCGUGGAUAAUCUGCCCUUCGAUGGAGGACAACAACCCGAAAGGGUUGCUAAUACUGCAUACGUCGGCGAGGCCCUCGGGCCAUGCCGGGAAAGUCGCCGCAAGGUGGCGUCGAAGGAGGAGUCCGCGUCCCAUCAGCUAGUUGGUAAGGUAACGGCUUACCAAGGCGAAGACGGGUAGCUGGUCUGAGAGGAUGAUCAGCCACACUGGGACUGAGACACGGCCCAGACUCCUACGGGAGGCAGCAGUGGGGAAUAUUGGACAAUGGGCGCAAGCCUGAUCCAGCCAUGCCGCGUGAGUGAUGAAGGCCUUCGGGUCGUAAAGCUCUGUGGAGAGGGAAGAAUCCUUGCAGCAUCAGAUCCUGCAAGUUGACGGUACCUCUUUAGCAAGCACCGGGCUAACUCGUGCCAGCAGCCGCGGUAAUAC